rnacentral:misc_RNA from 1 species
CGCACAUUGCGCCCCUUGGUAUUCCGGGGGGCAUGCCUCUUCCAGCGUCAUUUCACCCCUCAAGCUCUGCUUGGUUUUGGGCCGCGCCGGCAACGGCGGGCCUCGAAAAUAGUGGCGACGCCAUCGUGCUCUCAGCGUAGUAAUUCUUCUCGCUGUUGGGUCCCGGUGGUCGUCCGCCAGCAACCCCCAACUUUCUUAAGUUUGACCUGGGAUGAGGUAGGGAUACCCGCUGAACUUAA